rnacentral:tRNA from 1 species
GAAGGGAAACCUGGUAGGGCGCAGGCCUGGAAAGCCUGUGACCGCUCUGGUCGCGAGGGUUCAAAUCCCUCUCCCGGCGCCA